ACACUGCCUUCGCUUCUGAGGGCUCCCUGGCCUGGGAGAGUUUGAGCAGAAGUGUAAGUUUGGGUCUACAGAGCUCUGGUUCCUUCUUGAUGUCCUGCCCCUUCUCUCCUGUAGGAUUUGGGCUAGCCCCUUCUGAAGGGACAGGGACUCCCUUAGCAGGCACGGGCUGUGGUCAUAUUUCUUUUCUCUUUUUCUUACCUAACUUUUUUGGGGUAGCCUAGGCUGACCUUUGAGGAUAGCCCAAGUGCUAACACUUCAGGUGUGUGACACCAGGCCUGGCCACUGUCACAUUUUGGGUUUAGCAGCCUUUUGCAUGUACUUACUGACUGGAGAGUUGUUUAUUCAUGCUUUGCCCAUGUCAAAACUGGAUAACUGAUUCUUCUCUUUCACCUACAAGUUUGACCCGGAAGGGCAUUUUCACGAGCCUAUUGCCUAGGGAGAAGGUUUGUAAAUGAUAGACACAGGCAAGGUGGCGCCAGAGGAGGCUGAGGUGGGAGUCCCUAGGAAAGAUCCAAGGGUCAGUCAGAUGGCAAAGAUCUGAAGAAAUACUGGACCAUUGGAGAGUUCUGAGUGGGAAAGUGCAAACUUCAGGAUGGGCCAUGUGGAGACUUCUGGGGCUGAGACGUGACUAACACAUUUCCAUCCUGAAGGAUGUGGUGGACUGGCAUGGGACUAGAGUAAGGGAUGACAU
ensembl:processed_transcript 4930417O13Rik RIKEN cDNA 4930417O13 gene